GUAUAGACCUGAAACCCGGUGAUCUAGCCAUGGGCAGGUUGAGGGUUGGGUAACACUAACUGGAGGACCGAACCGACUAAUGUGGAAAAAUUAGCGGAUGACUGGUGGUUGGGGGUGAAAGGCCAAUUAAACCGGGAGAUAGCUGGUGCUCUCCGAAAGCUAUUUUGGUAGCGCCUCUGGAACUCAUCUUCGGGUGUAGAGCACUGUUUCG
rnacentral:rRNA from 1 species